rnacentral:lncRNA from 1 species
GGAGUUUUCAGAGCCUGAACUGAUUUUCAACAUAAAAGUGGCAAGAGUCAUUGAUGAGUCAACAUGGGAUAUUAGCAAAACUAAGAAAGGAGGAAGACUGUAGGCUUUUUUUCCUGAAUGUUUCUGACUUUAGAAUGUUGAUAUUUCUGGGCGUUAAUAAUGGAAAGAGUCAAGUUGCCCAGUGUGUCUGAAGGAGCACAGGCUUACGUGUAGAUCGGCUGAGUCUGAUCAGCUUUGGACAUCAAAUGUGGAUGCCGUGUCGGCAACUGUAUCUAUGAGCUUGGAACUCAGAG